AUCACACGACUUCGCAUUGGACACACCGCUAUCACACACAACUACAUCAUCACAAGAAGCCCGAGACCGAAAUGCAACACCUGCAACACUUUCAUCACUGUCAAACAUCUGCUACUCACAUGCCCACAAUACCAACACCACAGGACACACAUACAAACAUACUGCAGAGACGCCAACAUCCCACUAACACUCACAACACUGCUCGGGGACUUACACCCCGAGCUAACAACACUACUCAUCCACUAAAGACACAACACUGGGCUGAUCAAUGACCUGUAAAUCUCCUCCCUAGAGCCAAGGAAAAAAGCCAAAAAAGCCAAAAAAAGAAGCAAAAAAGAAAAAACAAUAUUCAAAACAAUGAGAAUCAAAAUAAAAGACCCCAGAAUGGCAAAAUGGCAAAAAAAAACAAAAACAAAAAAAAUAAUAGAAGGGGCAAUCCGGCUACCCGGGAGGAGAUAGCUAGGAACCCAGUCCCACCCCUCAGCCCACCCUUGCGAGCCAAGAAGACAACGGACACUUCAAGGCAACGGACGGACCAACAACGAAGACGGACGACAGAACCGGGCCCAAAUACAGGACGCUGUGGUGGCCCGUAAGCUACAAAUACCAUACCAUACCAUACCAGUGCAUCAUGCAGCAGAAUAAGCUUCAUUGAACACACUCGUCAUCAUGAACGGCAUCUAGGAGUUUCAUGAGUUUGGAUCUGUGACCAGUAAGUGGAAUGGGAGCAUAAUGGUACACGCUACCAAACCAGAUUUUUUUUUAUAAACAAAACAUUACGUUUAUUACCGUUUGGAGGUGAUUUGUUUUAUUCGGUCAUAGUGUCAAUGUCAUGUUUGAUCAUAUAGGUAACGAAAAGCGUACCUAUUCAAAACGUUUAUUCCUUGUCAUGAUGUGCCUGCAGGUUGUUUUCGCAGUAUCCAAUAGCAACCGUGUAUGACCAGGCGCCGCUUGGACGCCUUGUCCAGCCACGUCUUCCGGGACUGUGUGAUGACUGCCUCUGCAAUCUAAAGUGCCAGUUUCUGCCUCCGGCCUAUUUCAUUAUCAAAGGAUGCUGUUAGCUGAACGAACAGCUUUGCUCCAAGAUUCCAAACGGUUUUACGGUGCAUUACCAGUCAUCUUUACCGUCGAUACCGUUGAAGAUUUUACCGUCGAUCACGGAGCACCCAUUGCGCUGGCCGUUACUGGCACUUUUUUAUUUGUCACUAGGUAUUAGUUAUCUGCUGAUAUACAUUAGCCACCUGUACACCCGCUUACACUAGCUCUCAUCAUCUAGUUCUACGUAUGUGUGUGUUUGUUUUAAUUGUAUUGCCGAUGAAUUCGGUAGACAUGCUCCGCCCGCAAACAUGUACCACAUGAUGCAGUUCACUGAAUGUAGCAGUUAAUCACUCGUAAAAAGCGGUCAUGUUUUCGUAUAGUGUAGGUAUGCAUCUAUGUAAGCAUGUGUUCACACUCAUGAGCGAUCCACACAUGAUCUUGCAUUUCCUGUUCAGUUAUAUUUUUAGCACUGGAACACGAUGCUCAUACACUGUGUUGUUAUCUUUCUUUUUUCGCCUGCUCCUUCCUCCAACUUGUGUCUUUGAGUAUUUCAGUCACAUGCUCAAACGUUCUUAAAUGCUCUCGCCAUUGGUUUACGGAUGCGUUGAAAACGGACAUGUGUUGACCAAAUUUAACAAUAUGCGGACAAUGGAUCGACUUCUUGAAGCCUGUGGACGUGAUACACCUUCUCCAUCACCAUCAAGAGAUCAACAUUUUCGGAGACACUUGCGUACGGCUGCAGUGUCCGGCGCAAUGCUGAAUGCGACCUGUUAUCUGUUGGAUCUACUCUGUGAGCCCGAACCCCAGUGCAAGCCUCGGCUGCAGCACAAGCCACAUUCAUCGGCCCAAUCAUCAGUUAUUCAUCCUGCAAGUUUUAAGUCACUUCGUUGUGACCCGGACAUCGUCAUCUUUCAACGAGUUCAAAUGAUUAUUUCAUUCAUCAUCGUCGAUCAGACUCAUCAUGUAAAGACACUUCCAUAAUGCUAGCCGCCAUCUACGUUUGUGCAGGAAGCAAAUAUCAGGUUGUUAUUAGCUGCGGGCUACUCAGUACCGACUGAACUACUGGCAGUAGUGUGCGAGCACCUAAUACUUGUAUUGUGAUACCAAAGCUAAAACGGAUGAUAGCUUAGCGCAUAGCGCCCUACCGCUUUCCACACACACACACACAAACAAAACUUGACUUUGGGCAUUAGCACCAUGGCAGGAUAAACAGGCAGUUUCGCUGUUUUUCACUGCUUUCAUUGGCAGGUGUUACUGCUCAUUCCCGUUUUAUGUGAUGUUAGAACAGCCCUUCACCAUAGUCCUGUUUUCUCCUUUGCCGUUUUCCAUAGACAUCAGAUGCGACAUGCACUCCAACGAUCGGUCAGGCGCAUCACCGUCAAUCCGGUCGCCUGUUAAGCAGUUCGUAAUCACCGUCAGUCUUCGACAUCUGUCAACACACUUAUCCACAUUAUCGCCUUACUUUUGAUCUUAUCAAUAUGCAAGAAUGAGUGCAAAAUGCAUUCCAAUAUUGCAUCAGUUGAUGUUGUAUCGCAAUGACACCGCGUCCUCACCUCACAUCUGUUGUGCAUACUUGAUCACGAAUGCCAGUUAUACGCAGAUUCACAUGGUGAAGUUUUACUCCGUUGACGUUUUCUUUCCAUUCUUGUAGUCGAUCAAGAGGGAUUACAGUUGCACAUGCGGCCUUACACAUGCGUCCUUACAUGUUAGCUGAUUGAUAUGUUGGACACACUGGUUCCUGUGACUCCAAGUAGUUCUGCAUUGGUAUUGCUUCACUUUAUAUGUUCUACCCAAAGAUCGUUUCUAGUUUUGUCUUAGCUUGCAGCUGUAUGCCAUGAACAUACAGGGUACUGCGCAUCUUUAUCGUGACAUUCCUGUAGUUUCGUCACUUUCGCGGAUGAUUAGGACCAUGAGCUCAGUUGCAGAUGCGUCCAGCAGCCACCGACAUUUCUACACUUUAAAUUCCUAGUCUCGGAUCUUAUCCACAUACCAACAUGAUUUGAACAUUUCACACGUUUAGUGAUGAAAUGAGCAGGUAUCAUCUACAUUAUAUUUUCAUGCAAAGCACACUCCAGUCUGUGAAAAAAGAAAACCAUUAGGAGCAACAAUCAUGCCUUAGACAGUAUAGUUGCCAUAGAUAUUACGUUGUGCAGCGGGCAGGCCGGUGCACGAAAUGGCGAGUGUGAAUGCAGGAAUGCGUGUGAAAAACUGCCUAGGUGUGGAGUGGCUGGUUUGUCUUCCGUUACAUCGUAACGGGCUCUUGACGUAGUCUUUUUUUUAGUAACACCAAUCAUCUUUCGAACUUGAAUUAACGUAAUUGAAAAAUGGCUAUCACAUUCGGAGCCAUUGCUAAUUGCGUCAAGG
rnacentral:lncRNA from 1 species